rnacentral:rRNA from 1 species
AGAGUUUGAUCCUGGCUCAGGACGAACGCUGGCGGCGUGCUUAACACAUGCAAGUCGAGCGAUGAAGUUUCUUCGGAAAUGGAUUAGCGGCGAACGGGUGAGGAACACGUGAAGAAUCUGCCCUCCACUUUGGGAUAACACCGGGAAACCGGUGCUAAUACCGAAUAUUGAAACAUAAGUGGCAUCACUGAGUUUUGAAAGAAUUUCGGUGGAGGAUGACUUCGCGGCCUAUCAGCUAGUUGGUGAGGUAAUGGCUCACCAAGGCAACGACGGGUAGCCGGCCUGAGAGGGCGACCGGCCACACUGGGACUGAGACACGGCCCAGACUCCUACGGGAGGCAGCAGUGGGGAAUAUUGGGCAAUGGAGGAAACUCUGACCCAGCGACGCCGCGUGCGGGAUGAAGGCCUUCGGGUUGUAAACCGCUUUCAGUAGGGAAGAAGCGAAAGUGACGGUACCUACAAAAGAAGCACCGGCUAACUAUGUGCCAGCAGCCGCGGUAAUACAUAGGGUGCAAGCGUUGUCCGGAAUUAUUGGGCGUAAAGAGCUCG